GCCUAGCUGGCUCAGUUGGUAGAGCAUGCGAAUUUUGACCUCUUGGGGUCAUGAGUUCAAGUCCCAUGUUGGGUG
rnacentral:tRNA from 1 species